GACGUAGGGCGCGAGCGUUGUCCGGAAUCACUGGGCGUAAAGGGCGCGUAGGCGGCGCGGUAAGCGUGCGGUGAAAGCCCGGGGCUCAACCCCGGGUCGGCCGUGCGGACUGCCGGGCUGGAGCACUGUAGAGGCAGGUGGAAUUCCUGGUGUAGCGGUGAAAUGCGCAGAUAUCAGGAGGACACCGGUGGCGAAGGCGGGUCUCUGGGCCGUAACUGACGCUGAGGAGCGAAAGCGUGGGGAGCGAACAG
rnacentral:rRNA from 1 species